AGCUUUUCCUCUUUCCUUGUUCACGUCAGAGUUGGACAGAGAGAAAAGGAGCCUCGUUCAGCUCUUCCCCUCCACGUUUCCAUCAUGCAAAGGGCAACUCCUCCAAGAACAUCAUCUCAGACCUUCAAAAGAGAGAACCCAGGCCAUAAAUCGUCAUUCACCCUUCUCUUCUCACCUUUCCUCUCGUCCCUGGACACAUCAGUCCGUUUACGAGCCUCGAAACACCUAGUUCGAGAUCUCCGAUCAGAAAACGUUCUUCAUCAAAGUUGUUCGCCUAUGUCUCCUCUAUCUAGCCUCCAAAUUUCAGCUCCAUCGGAAUUGAUUUGAGACCUGUACACCCCUCGAAGCGGAAGCUGUUCCGGAGCAAGCCUGUUCCGGAUUUCUGCUUAAACUUCCUCUCUUGCUCUACCCGAAUCCCCAACACCUUGCUUGAGACUGAUACCAACAGUUGUCUCUGUUUCACUUUGCAUGUUCGAGACUGAGCAAACUUCUUGGCCUGUGGCUGGACUCGAUCCAAUCAGCUCCUUCAGCUCUCUUUCCUGUUGAAAUCCUCAAGAGAAGCUCAUCUUUUUUUGUUAGUUUUUGGCUUGACAUCGUGGUGGAAUCUUGUGAAGUGGUGGUUGCUACAAGGUUGCAUUGAGGCCAAGUGCUGCAAGAGAAAGCUCGAGUUCCAGGAGAGGUCAGUUCCUCCUUGAGCCACCGGUGGUGGGCAGUGUGCACCAUGCCCUUGUUAUCUCCCCUUUGUCUCUAGCCUUGUGAUUAAUGAAUUCCGGAAAGUGAUUGGCUAGAUGGACGGUUGUGAUGGAAGUGUGAAAGAUGAUCAAUUGCCGUGGGAUUGUAGUUACGUGGUGACGAUCACGUGGAAGCGCAAACCGGUUUUAUCUACUUCUUUUAUUCAAAACAAUAACUCAUGUUUUUAAACUUAGAUAUGGGGGCGGGCAUGGGCAAUGACUGGAUGUAGGAGCCUAACCCCUACUUUAGUUUGUUUUGCAGGCUGUUGUUGUUGAAGCUUGGGCACGGAGGAUAAUCCUUGGAGGACACAAUUUGUUUUACUAUAUUUAAAGUUUAUUUCCUUUCGGCUUGCUUGAUUUCACUAAAGUUUUGUAACA